CUUAUGUAUUAAUCACAUUAUUUUAUUGUAAUGCCUUGGUGCCACUGGAUUUUAACAUGUCUGACACCCAUACUGUAAGACAAAUGGUGGGGGUCUAGUUAGGAAGUUGGGGGAGGCAGACCACUUCACAGGAAGAGUCUUUUGUCUCUGCAAGGACUCUGGGAAGGUGUGAAACAGCUGUGUACUGCCUUUUGUUCAUGGAGAAAGUAUUUAACUGAGAGACACACUACUCUCAGUGAGACUCUGCUGACCCUGCCCCGUGGUCAUGCAGGCUCUCCAUCAAGCUUGGUUGUCCGUUGUCUUUGUGUGUCCGGAUUAAAGAAUGUUGGCUACCGCUCACCGCUCGUCUGCAGGCUUUAUUUAAGUGGAAAAACUUCCACAACAGAAUGGCGCUGUGAGCAGGGUGGUCCGUGUGGUCGCUGAACAACGCUUCCGUGUACGGGCUGAUCACCCCUGAGGGAAAAGGUACCUUUGUCCUACCAGCUGUUGAAGCAAAGGAAAUGGAGGAGUCACGGAGCCGUGUGUUUCAGCCACCACCGAGACCAUCAACUUUGAGGGGACUCCUGCAGAUGGCCGCGUUGGAAUGGAAAUCGAGGGAUGGAGAGAGCGUGCCAAGCUCCAAAGGUGACAGCACAGAGGGAGAUCAGCGUUGGAAUUACAACUCUGUAAAUGGCACAGACACCAGGAGCCAUGAUCGGGAACUGAGAAUGACCAUCUAAUGCUUUUUCACUUUGCCAUGCAAAGUACUUUGACACUCUGGAAAAGACCUUUCCUCUGUAUCAUUGUUGUUGCCAUUAGCAUGUGAGAGCUUAGAUUGGGGGGAAGUUUAAAGAUGAACAAAGGGUGGUGGGAGACCAGUGAAGUUAGGAUACACAGUGUGAAACUCCUUUGAGUGUAAAAUAAUGUUGAUGUGAUAUACAGAAUGUCGGGAAAGAAAUUCUGGUUUUAAUGUGAUUCUUGAUUUGAGAAUCAAAGGGUGGGAUUGUAUAGGAAUUUCUUUCACUUAUGUAUUAAUCACAUUAUUUUAUUGUAAUGCCUUGGUGCCACUGGAUUUUAACAUGUCUGACACCCAUACUGUAAGACAAAUGGUGGGGGUCUAGUUAGGAAGUUGGGGGAGGCAGACCACUUCACAGGAAGAGUCUUUUGUCUCUGCAAGGACUCUGGGAAGGUGUGAAACAGCUGUGUACUGCCUUUUGUUCAUGGAGAAAGUAUUUAACUGAGAGACACACUACUCUCAGUGAGACUCUGCUGACCCUGCCCCGUGGUCAUGCAGGCUCUCCAUCAAGCUUGGUUGUCCGUUGUCUUUGUGUGUCCGGAUUAAAGAAUGUUGGCUACCGCUCA